GCCAGUAGUGAUAUGCUUGUCUCAAAGAUUAAGCCAUGCAAGUCUAAGUACGAGCUCUCGUACAGCGAAACUGCGAAUGGCUCAUUAAAUCAGUUAUGGUUCAUUUGAUCGUAUGGUUUACUUGGAUAACUGUGGUAAUUCUAGAGCUAAUACAUGCAAACAGCGCCGACUUCGCGGGAGGCGUGCUUUUAUCAGACCAAAAACCGACCGCGGCUCCGGCCGCGUUCGACUGGUGACUCUGGAUAACCUGGCGGAUCGCACGGUCUAGCACCGGCGACGGAUCAUUCAAGUGUCUGCCCUAUCAACUUUCGUCGGUACGGUAUUCGCCUACCGAGGUUCUUACGGGUAACGGGGAAUCAGGGUUCGAUUCCGGAGAGGGAGCCUGAGAAACGGCUACCACAUCCAAGGAAGGCAGCAGGCGCGCAAAUUACCCAUUCCCGACGCGGGGAGGUAGUGACGAAAAAUAACAAUGCAGGACUCAUUCGAGGCCCUGUAAUUGGAAUGAGUACACUUUAAAAGCUUUAACGAGUAUCCAUUGGAGGGCAAGUCUGGUGCCAGCAGCCGCGGUAAUUCCAGCUCCAAAAGUAUAUAUUUAAGUUGUUGCGGUUGAAAAGCUCGUAGUUGGAUUUUGGGCGCGGGCGGUCGGUCCGUCGCGAGGCGUGUACUGGUCGACCCGGCCUUACGUCCGGUUCUCCGGCGGUGCUCUUGACUGAGUGUCGGCGGCGGCCGGAAAGUUUACUUUGAAAAAAUUAGAGUGUUGGAGAGUGUAGUUUAUUUAGAAAGUGCGAUAACUUACUCAUUCAAUACAAAGAUGGUUUUAAGCGUUUUUUCUGAAGAAAAUAACCCGAUACCCCGUGAACAGCUACACAAAGCUGCAGAAGCAUUGUUAAAAGUUGUGGAAACACAAAAGAAAAAUGAAAUUCUUGCCGAGACUUGUCGAAUAAACCUCGUUAUUGCAAUGAACAGAAUUCCUUCGAGGAAGAUGAAAAAAGUUUUUAUUCCUCUACCCCACCCAGUGUUCACGACUUCAUCGGAGAUUUGUGUUUUCACGAAAGACGUCGAAAGUAAAGACAUCGAAAAAUCACAA
rnacentral:rRNA from 1 species